AGUUUUACCCUACUGUUGACUAAUUGUUGCGAUAGUAAUCCUGCUUAGUACGAGAGGAACAGCAGGUUCAGACAUUUGGUUCAUGGACUUGACCGAUCGGUCAAUGGUCCGAAGCUACCAUCUGACGGAUUAUGACCGAACGCCUCUAAGUCAGAAUCCUGCCUAGUCAAGGCAACAAUAAUGUUGCUUCCCGGUGUCGGGAGGCAUCCUUAUCUCGUGGUAACACGAGAGCUUAUGCCCUAGUAAAUGGCCUUGCCAAUGGGGAGAAUCCCUAUUGGUUGCCAAAGCCAGAUCACUCUGGUUCAAUGUCGGGGCGCAAAAUCACUUGCUUACGACUUGUAUACUGGUCAAGGUGUUGUAUCCAGUAGAGCAGUCUCUUUAUACUGCGAUCUGUUGAGACUAUCCUUUGAUUGGAUGUUUUGU
rnacentral:ncRNA from 1 species